UUGAGAUCAGAGGAUGCAACAAGUUGAAGAGUCUCUUCCCGGUAGCCAUGGCUUCAGGUCUCAAAAAGCUCAAAAUACUUGAAGUAAGUGAAUCCUCUCAAUUAUUGGGAGUAUUUGGGCAGGAUGAUCAUGCUUCACCUGUCAAUAUUGAGAAGGAGAUGGUGCUCCCUGAUCUGAAGUUGCUGAUUCUAGAAAAAUUACCAAGCAUUGUCUACUUCAGUCAUGGAUGUUGUGAUUUCAUAUUCCCUUGUUUGUCGAUAUUGGUGGUGCGUCAUUGUCCAAAGCUGUCCACAAGAUUUGCUACUACAUCAAAUGAUUUAAUGAGUGCUCAAUCAAAGGUGCUGUAUAUUUGACAUGAUUUCUUGCCUCUCUUUCAGUGUUUUUAUUUCUUGUUUCCCUCAAUAAUAAGACUUACAAGUUAGAAUGUGUAUGCCAUGCUUGAAUUGCUUUUGCAGGUAUCUCAAGUAGUUGAGGAUUCAAGUACUGGUUGCUCCGUGCCAACCAGCACUGCUAUAAGAUGGACCCGGGAAUAUGGGUGGGAAUUGAAAGAGGAAGAGGAUGGAGUCAGAUGAUUAGUUUGGCAUUGGAAUUUGAAAAACAUGCUAGUAAUUAAUUCUUGCAGGUAAAAUGGCUGCAACUAUUUAUCUUCUAUCCUUGUUUAAAUGGUUGGAUUAAAUCAACAAACACGAGAUGCCUGGAUGAUGUUUGUUCUUGAUGUUUGCAUUAGGUUGGUUGGUUACCUAUGUGAUGAUCAAAUCGACAUUGGUGGGAAGUAAUUCCAGCUGUUUCAUUAGCUACAACAAUUUGUCUUAUUUCAUGUGUUUGUUGUGUGAACUUCCAGAAAUAAGGGUAAUGUUACGUGUUUAGUAAUUUAUUGUGCGAAUCUCCAGAAAUAAGGGCGUAUGUUUGUUUUCCCAUUUGUGUUUCUUUUUCAAGUGUCUGAACCUUAAAAAGCGAGGGCAUAAUGUUUACUCAUUUGUGUGCUUAUGGUUUAAUGUGGGGAUUCUCAUUCUCCUCAUUUUGAUGUUCUAUUUCUAUUACGAUUCUUUAUGUGGUUAAUUUGUUAUUGUGCGUACCGUAUAGUAAUACGGUUUCUACAUGAAUAUAUAUAAAUACAUGUGAAUGAGUAUAUAUAUAAAAAAAUCAAUUUAUAAAUUUAUUGAUAGAAUAUGAAAUUCCAAGGUGUAAGUAAAAGGAUAAAUCCUCUAGCUUUGAAAAGAAUUAGUGUUUGCCUUUGAGAUUGUAAUAUAUUUUUUUUCAGGUCUAUUCAAUUUAAUAUUUUUAAUAAUACAAAUGAAAAUAAACAGCAAAUUUAAUUUAUAAAUGUAACUAUCUCAAAACAAUGUAGAGAAGGAAGAAAGAUUAGUAGAAUAAAAAUAAAAUAAAUAGACUUUUAAAAAGCAAAGAGUUUUAAAUGUUAAAUUUUUUUUUUAUUUAAUAGACCCAAUUUUGUGUUUUUUUUUUUUUUUUAUAAAGAUAACUCUAUUUUAAUUCUGAUUUUUUAGCAGCACAAUUUUUCAUUCAUCAUAACACACACAUAAUAUUUUUUUUAAAUAGUUAACAUGUCAUAUUAACAUAACGGUAAGAUUAUAUUAUAAUGAUGAACAAGAAUGAAGAAUUAUACUAAAUAUAAAAUAAUAAAUCAAAAGCAUCAAUGAAAAAGAAAUCACCUUUCUAUUUAUUUAGGCUGUCUAAAGCUAAAACUUACUAGAUUAAUUUUAUCACACACAACAAUUAAUUAGUCAUUAAAUUUGGACUAUUGUUGAAAAAACAUGCUAAAUACAACAUCAUAAGCCCGAUGGGGAUAUGAACUUAAGCAACUUCUACCCAAAAAAGUGAGGAACAAGUGCCUCAUGGGGAUUAACCUCCUAAGGGACAGAGUUAGCACAAUGAGAUUUUAUCACAUAUUAUUUGUUUAAGAUUUACCAGACUUGUAUCUAAUGAGAUUCUCGUUAUAAAAUAUAUGUGUGUGAGGAGAGUAGUUCAUGAAACUUGAUCAAAGAAAUUCUUUUUUGUAAUUUCACAGAGGCUCGUCUGAUGCAAAAAGGGUUGGAAUCUGAUAAUUGUUGUGUUCAUUGUGGAGCUGUUGGGGAGUCUCGUGAACAUGUACUGGUCCAUUGUUCUUAUAUGAAUGUUAUUGUAAAAUACUAUAUAUGUACGAAUGUGAAUGAGUAAAGGAUAAAUCCUCCAGCCUUGAAAAAAUUAGUGUUGAAAAAAUUAGUAAAGGAUAUGUACUGAUAAUUGUUGAUUUCAUAUUCCCUUUAAGAGCUUGUACGUAGUUGAUUGUAAUUUUUUUUCUCAAAUUUAUUAAAUAUUUUAUUUUUGAUAACACAACAACAACUAACUUUAUAAACGUAACUCUUUCAAAAUAACGAUGAGAAGGAACAAAAAAUUUAAUAAAAACAAAGAGUUAAUGUUAAAAACUUUUUGAAAUUGUCUAUUUUUUAUAGUUAAUUUAGAAUUAUUUUAAUUAAAAAAAUAAACCGUUAUUUAACAUAUACAUCUAUAUAUUUAAACAAAACAUAACUCUAUUUUAAAAUCAAUUUUUUAGCAAACACAUUUUUUUAGCAAACACAAUUUUUCAUUCAAUGUAACAUGUAAUUUUUUUAAGAAUCGUUAACGUGUCAAUAUUAACAUACCAGUAUGAUGCUAUUAUAAUGAUCAACAAGAAUGAAGAAUUACAACGAAUAUAAAAUAAUUAGUAUAAUUGUUUAUGUUUUGCAAUGGAUUAAUAAUAAUUUUUUAAAAAUAUAUAAAAAAAUAUUAAAAAUAUAAAGAAUAUUUUAAGUGUUUUGAGUCAGACGAAUAUACCAGACUCGAGAGUUUUGGAUCUGACAACCCUUACAUAACCUAAGUAAACAACAAACAAAUAGAAAAUAAAUAUGUAUUUUAAUUGUCAAGAGAGAGAAAAAAAAAAGCACAAAUAGUCAAAGAAAUAUUUAACAAAAAGAUAAGAUGAGAAAUUAAAAAUAAAACUAGUAUUAUAAUUUAUAAUUAAAUAUUUUUUGAUCUACAGUAAUUUUCAUAUACUUGUUAUAAUAAAUCAAAAGCAUCAAUGAAAAAUAAACUUCUAUUCUAUUUGGGCUGUGUAAACCUAAACCAACUAGAUUAAGCCCAGAAUGCAUUUUUUAUCACACUGCAACAGGUAGUCCAGUAAAUUUGGAUUAUUGCUGAAAAAACAAGCUAAAUCCAACAUCAUCAGCCAGGCCCACAAUUAAACCAAAAUAGAAACCCAAAGCAAGAGGCCUAUAACAGGAUGUAUCUACUGAAGCCACUUCUCCCUAAAAAAUGGAAGGAAAAAAAAAAAAAAAACUAGGCAACUUGUGAGCCAUCAUGCAUAGCAAAGAGGAAGUGAGGAACAAGUGCCUCAUGGGGAUUCAGCUCCUAAGGGGCUUUAUCCUUCUGGAGACAUGUCUUAUAAGCUAUGAAAAUAGGACGAGAAGGAAUAAUUAUUCCUUACCUGUUCGUUUAUCAUAUUCCAAAUAAUUCGUUGUAUUAUUCCGUUGAUUGAUAGCUUCUAAGACAUGUCUCCAGAAGGAUAAAGCUGUUCAAGCAGGUCUGAACUUUCUCUCUAGCUGGUCUGCUUCUCGGUUUACACCAGCACAUACAGCAAUUCAUCCUAAUUUGCUUAAAUGGGAGAAACCUCCUCCUGGUUUUAUCAAAUGCAAUAUAGAUGCAGCAGUUGACAAUAAUCAAGAGGCUGUGGGAGCAGUGUUUGUCUUGCAUGAUGAGGAGGUGGCUUUGAUAAUGCGUGGCUGCUGGCAUGCUAAUGAUGUUUUUUUCCCAAAGUUAGCAGAGGUAUUAGUUUUGAAAGGGUUUUCUUUCAUCAUAUAUAUAUAUAUAUUGGUAUCACCCUUGAAUAUUAACCAAAUAUAACCUAAAUAACCUAAUUUUUUUUUCAUUUAAUUUCUGAUUUUCUGAAAGCAUUUGAUUAUUACAACAUAAAAUAGGAUAAAAGUUGAAAAACAAAAAGCACCCACACCUACAUAAUAAAAUGGGCUAAUUGUAUGGUCACAAUCACAUUAGCAUUAGCAGAUGUCGGCUAUAAAUUACAAAAUCAAAAUAACCUUAACCAAAAUUGAUUACCCCAAAUUAAUUUUAAAAUUAGAUUUAUUUAACUUAUAUCUAAAAUUUAUUAAUCUGAAUUUCUCCCUAUAAAAAUAUAUGGAACCUGAUAAAAAAACAAUUUCUUCUUCAAUUUUUUUAAUCAUGAUUUGUAAAUCUUGAUAUAAAGAAAAUGAGGAAUGAAUUUCUCAUGACUCCAACAAAGUAUAUGUUCAAGCCUCAUUCUCAAUGUGGAGGGGCGAGAGUAUUAAACUUCAGGAUUAAAAUAUUAUUUGGUUAUUAUUUUGAGAUAAAAAAAUAUAAAGAUAAUGGAAAUAUAAAAGAUAUGUCUUUAUAUAUUUUUUAUUUUAAAAAUAUAAAAAAAAAUUAAAAAAAUUAUUCCCAAAAAAAAUUAUUUUAUGUAGCUAUUUUCAUCUUCACCAUCAAACACAUUUUCAUCACUCCUGUAUUUAUUUAUUUUGUUUUAAAAUAUUAACUAAAUACAGCUUAAUUUUUAAAUCUGAGUUUAUAAAAAAAAUAUGAAUAUCACAACAUAGGAUAAAAGUUUUAAGAAGAAACACUCACAACAACAACAAUAAUAAUAAUAAAAUCUUUACAAAUUUAUGCUAUAAAUGACAAAAUAAAAAUAACCUCAACAAAUCUAGUCCUAAUUUUACAUUAAUCCACAAGCAAGUUGUUAAUUGGUGGCUCAUUCCAGACUGUCAAGUCAAGCAUUGAACCUUGAACUUUUCAAAUUGCAUUUUCGUUUUCAAUAUUUUGUUCCAAAUUGCAUUUUCCCUUUCAUUUUUUUGUACAUUGAUUGAAUGGUACAGUCCUCAUUUUCAUUUACUUUUGGAAAUAAACAAAAAAUUCCUUUCAAGUUUCAAGUUACUAAACGACGUGCAGCUCAAUCAAUGCCUUCAUUGCCUACGGCCUUUAAAAAAUCAACUCAUUAGUUAGUUUCGUCCUUGGCUCGCUUAGAACGACAUCCACCCGAAUGUUUGACAUGUGGCACUUGAAGAUCAGAUUAAGAGAAUGUUAGAUGUUCAAUUAAUCUUUUAAUUAUAGAAAUUUAAAAUUUGUUUUAGAUAAAAUGAUUGGUAGGAGAUAUCUAGUAAGUUAAAAUGACUGAUGUCUAAACUGCUAUGAUGAUAAGUAGUUGUUACUUGCAAAUUUGAUGUGAGUAUUCUUACAUGUUUAAGAAAGAAUUCAUAUAAAAAGAAAAAAUAUAAUAAUAUUUUAAAGAGAUAGACUCUAAAAUUAUUAAAAAUAAAGAUAUUAUUAACCUUAAACUUUGAAGAUUCAUUUAGUAUUUAUAACUCACAAAUCUUGUCUUUUAUGAAGAGAAGAAGUUGAAAAAUAAUUUUAUCCUUGUGGUAUUUUGAGUUUUAUUUCACUCAAAAUAAAAUAUUGUAAAACUCGUAUGGGAUCUUGAAAAAAUUAAUUUGAUUGUGGUAUUUUGAGUUAUAUUUUACUUAAAAUAAUAGUAUUGAAUCAAUAUAAAAUAUUGAGACAUUUAUGUGGGAUCUUGAAAAUAUUAAUUUUAUUUUUAUGAUAUUUUAAAUUAUAUUUUACUCAAAAUAAUAUAUAUUAAUUUAAUAUAAAAUAUUAAAAAACCUGUGUGGGAUCUUAAAAAAAUUUGAACGGAGAGGUAGUUCCGACGAGUUACUUAAGUUUGUUACAAGUGAAAAAUAGAUCAACACGUGCUACAUAUCCACACGUAUUGUCUAAACCCACACAUAUUGGAUUCAAAAUAUACGCUAAAGCCCAUAAAGAAGCUGGGAUGUAUGCGGAAAGGUAUAUGGGUCAAGGCAGCGUCUGGAUUCAAGGGCAGUUAAGCUUUGGGAGGUUUUUUUAUCCCAUUAAAUUUUGGUCUAAAGCAGAUAGAAAGUUAUUGUUUUGUUGAUAGUUAGUCCUUUUCUUUUAUUGACUUGGUUUCUUUGGGUGUUGACUAGUUAUUUAUGGUGAAGUGAUAAUCUCUUUUUUUGUUCUGCAUAUGGUAAUGUGGUGUGAAAUGUUUUUAUAAAAAUAUUUUUUAAUUAAAAAUGUAUUAAAAUAAUUUUUUUCCAUUAAAAACAAACUUUAAAAUCAUUAAAAAAAAUACUUAAAAAAUUAAAUUAACAACAUUAAUUUAAUAUUUUUUAAAAUUAAAUAAAAUUUCAAAAGUAAUUAAUUUAAAUCACCUAUUAAAGCAGAAGGAACAUUUGUGCUUGAAUCCUGAGAUAAUUAAGUAGGAAAAUUUUGCAUUUUAUGAAGUUGUUUUUUUCUUAGUUAUGAUGAUUUAUUUUCUUGGAGGUCCCUAAAGUGGAAUAUUAAUGGUCCCAAAAUUUACAAAGUUUUCCUGCAAUCAAACAGUGCCCUUUUGAAAUUGCUCAAUUAUUAAUCGCUUGGUGUUUUCUUGACAACACAUUACUUUAAUUUUGUGGUUGAUUAGAGCUCUAUCUUCAAAAGUUUAAUCUUCAAAUCUUCUUCUAAAUUCUUUAAUUUUGCUCUCAUAUUGAAUUUAUGAAAAUGUUAUCUUUUUUUAUAUAUUGUUAAAAUGAUGUCAAGUCUUAAAGACUGUUAGCCAUGUGUUCCUAAUUAACUUCUGAUAUUUUGUAUUAUACCUCAUACAUAAUUGCUGGAAGAUAAAAUAAUUUAUUUUUUAUUCAUGUUUAUUAGCUUUCUAUCUAUUAUACAUGCAAAAGUUUAUCUUAUAAUACUUUUAACCAAACGUAUUUUUAAAAAAAACCCAACUAAAAGUGUUUUUGUUAAACCUAUUUUUUUAAAUCGCAACUAUAAAUGCUAUCGUUAUUGUAUGUUUGGUAAUGUGGUGUAGAAUGCUUUUACAAAAAUAUUUUUCAAUUGAAAAUGCAUUAAAAUAAUUUUUUUCAAUUAAAAAAACACUUCAAAAUCAUUAAAAAUACUUCAAAAAUUAAAUUAAUAACAUUAAUUUAAUAUUUUUUUAAAAAAUCAAAUACAAUUUAAAAGGUAAUUAAUUUAAAUCAAAAAAUUAAAUUAACGAGUUUUUCCUUUAUUUGAAAGGGAAGGGCUAAACGAUAUUUGUGUAUUUUCUUUGCACAAUGUGAUUAUUUAAUUACCCUUGGAAAACAAAGAAAAUCACUUGGGUCUAGGGGCUUAUUAGUCUUUGACUUGAUUUUUCAACAAGUAUGUUACUUCAUUGUCCUUAAAAAUUUAAAACAAUUAUAUGACUCUGAGGCUCUUUUAUCAUUUAGAUGUGGUCAUUUAGUAGUUAUUAGGUGUCAUUGGAGACAAUAAGAUAAUUUAGUAAAUAAGAAAAUUAAAUUAAAAAAAUAGAAUCAAGUGAACAAUGUUUGCCACCUCCGAAUGAUGUGUGCGGCAUCAUCCAAUACCCAAAAUGGUGAUUCCAGGGAGGCUUCUGAAGGAUCUCAAUGUCCCCCUACAAAUCAACGACGCGUGUAGCACUAUAGCGGUUGGUGGGACGUGUGUGGCCUUCUGUUUUUUUUCUUUUCCCGUCUCUCCUACUCGAUUUUCGUGUUGGGAUUAAAAAAUCAAAUCAGUCCCUAAAGUUUAUUGUACUUAUGAUUUCAUCCCUUUUCUCUUUAUUAUAAUUUUUUAAAUUUAGAAUACUUUAUGAAAUUAUGUGGUUUUUUCAAUUUCAUAAUUGUUCUCUUUGUUGCCUUUUUUUUUUUAGAAUAGUCUACUAAAUUAAGAAAUGUUUUUAAUUUUAGAUGGUUUUCACAAUAUUUUUUUUACCUUGCAAGAUUUUUUUAUUAUGUCAUCCUCCAACAUUUAAAUAGCCUGGUCUUUAGCUUUUUAGUUGAGUCCGGGUCUAAAAUUUAACGGUUUGUUGGUUUAAGAAAUUGACCCCGGUUUCUUUGUUUUUUUUCCAUCCUCCAACAUUUUGUUAUUUUUUAGUCUUUUUUAAAAUAAUGCAGGUUGCCUUGGUUUUUUUUUUUUUUUUUGUCUUUGUUGAAUUUAGUUUUAUGAAGGAAUUUUAUUUUUAAAUUGAAUUAAAUUGAUUGAUUUCAUCUUCUAACAUUUAUUUUUUUAGGUGUUAAGCUCCUACAUUGAGCCUGAGUCAAAAAUUUAAUGGAUUACGGGUUUAAGAGUUUAACCCGAGUUUAUAGGAUUCACGCUCAAGCUUCUUUGGUGUUUUAUUUCUUUUUUAAGCUGUUUUCUUUUUUCAUAUUUCAAUCUCUAACAUUCUUUUUAUGUUUUUUUUUAUUGGUAUCUCCCUUGAAUAUUAAAAAAAUAUAACCUAAAUAACCUAAUUUUUUUCAUUUAAUUUCUGAUUCUCUUAAAGCAUUUGAUUAUUACAAGGAUAAAAGUUAAAAAAACAAAAGGCACCCACACACCUACAUGAUAAAUCGGCUAUAAAUUACAAAAUCAAAAUAACCUCAGCCAACAUUGAUUACUCCAAAUUAAUUUUAAAAUUAGAUUUAUUUGACAUAUAUCUAAAAAAAAUUAAUCUGAAUUUCUUCCUAUAAAAAAUAUGUGAGCAGAGUAUUUCAUGAAACCUAAUAAAAAUAAGAUUCUUCUUCAAUUUUAUUUUUUUAUCAUCAUUUGUAAAUCUUGAUAGAAAAAAUGAGGAAUGUAUUUCUCAUGCCUCCAAACCUCAUCACUCCUAUAUUUGUUUAUUAUCUCCUAAAUACUAACUAAGCACAACCUAAUUUUUAAAUCUGAAUUUUUUAAAAGCAUUUAAUUAUCAUAACAUGUGAAUAAAAAUUUGUGCUCCAAAUGACAAAAUAAAAAUAACCUCAACAAACAUGAUUAGUACUAAUUAAUUUUUACAUUAAUCCACAAGCAAUUUUUAUUAUUGUUCGUGUUAUUUUUGACCUGUCAAGUUAAUCGAGUCAUAUUGUGUCAACUUUCAUGUUUUUAUUUGUAUUUAAAAUUUGAAUGAAAUAAUUCCAGGUUAAUUUAUUUUUAAAUUUAAAUUUAAAUUAUAUUUAUUAAAUUAUAUAUAUAACCCCAAAAAAACAUGCCAAAAUACCCCAAUAAAAAUCAAUGCAGAGCCUUAAUAUACGUACGGGACUUGUUAUAGAUUUCUUUAAAUUGCUUGAAAACGACUCCGAAGUCCAUGCCAUGUACGCGAAGAAAAAGUGACUCUAGAGACAAGGCCAUCUAAUUAAUUAGGAAACAUUUAUUAUCUUUUACGGCAUUAAAAAUGAGCAGAAGGAGGACUCACUGUAACCCUUCUUAUAAUUUUUUUAUCCACCGUAAUAAUUAUUUUGUUAUUCUUAUAAAAUAUAAAGAUAUUUGUUGUUAAUUGUAAAUUUGGUUGAGAGUAGUUACUGUUAUCUAUUUUUUUUAAUUUUCUAAACUAAAUAAAAAAAUAAACACCAUAAACAAAAAUAAUUUUCUAAAUUAAAUAAAAAUAACUAAAAAAUAAAUAAUUUCCCCUAACAAUCCUCGUGUACUUAUCCUGAGUUAUUUAAUUGUUUGUCUCUAGCUACUGGGGAGCACCGCCAUGAAAAGUUGUGUGAGUGCCUUUGCGCUUCAUGGAUUUCUAACAUAUAAUCAUCCGACUCAGAUAAAAUAUGCCAAGAAUCAGUCCCACUCUCCACUACCAAAUCAUUCUUUAUUGAUGAUGUUUGGACAGUACUGCGGAAGAAGAUGAAGUUCUAGAAUCUAAAUUAUAUUUCUAUCGCAAAACCAUAUAUCAAAUCGAUGUAUGGACAAGUGAAUUCGCAUCAGAAUCCCAUGCAACUUUUCAAACGAGCAGCUAACUCUUUAGAAAUAUUAUAUUGAUAAUUGGCAUAUUCAAAAGUGUACGAGGAUCGAUGACCAAUCUUCAGGUUACUUUGAAAUUCAACAGUUAUAGAAAACAAUAUAGCCCUGAAGUCCAGCUUUAGGUGCAUGUUUUCUGCCUUCUGCACAUAUUUAAAACAAUCGCAUUAUCAGUAUGAACAAAAAGUCGCAUUAUCUUCGCUCUUUUCUCCAAAUAUUUGACACACGGGAAAAAUAAACCUAGUUGUUAAUCUAUAGCAUACCUAAAACCAUCUUCUUUGCGUAAAAAUACAUCAGUCAUGCUAAAACGUCCUGAUACUUUAUCAAAUAGAUAAUAAAUUUAUAUUUUACCAAGUAUAAGAUAUCAGUAAGCCACCUUUUAUUCAUAAAAAAAGUCUACCAGCCACCUUAGUGUUGGUAAAGGCGAAUCGAGAGUCAACAUUCAACACUACAAAGUACAAACUACUCAAUUUAAUGGAAAGAAAAAACAAAUAAAAAGUACACAUAUAAGAUUUAAUGUGGGUCAUUAAGCAAAAUUCUAUCUACUCGGCAGACCUAGAGUAACCAUUCUUUACUUGAGAGGAAAUAUAAGAAUAUCAACGUGAUUUUUAUACUUGAAUAUAAAUUCCAAAACUUCUUUGGUAAACCUACUCACUCACUCAAAAGAAAAAAAUUUGAUGAACAAGAAAGAAAACAGCUUGGUGACUAUUCUCAUAGGCAAAGCCAUGAUGAUUCGUAGAUAAGGGGGAUACAAAUAAAAAUACUAUCCCUUCACACAAAUUUAUGUAUAACUUUUUUAUACAUUUCUAAGAAUUAUCUUUAUAAUUAAUUGCUUAUUAUUAUUUUUAUUUAAAAUAGUUUUAAAAAUAAAAGAAAAUUGAAACUUAAGAAACAUGUUUAAUAAAAAUAAAAAAGGUUAACGGACGCAUGUUAUGUGAUUCGAAGAGUUAUUAUUCUGUCUUAUAUAACAAUGCUAUAACAAAAGGCUGAUAUUAAAUAUAUUACCAUCGAUAGUAGUUUAAGAUUUACCAGACUUGAAUCUAAUGAGAUUCUCGUUAUAAAAUAUAUGUUCUUAUUCAUAGAGUUUAUAAAGGUUAUUACCCUUUUUUAUAUUGUUGAAAUGAUGUCAAAGUCUUAAAGACUGUUAGCCAUGUGUUACUAAUUAACUUCUGAUUUUUUGCAUUGUACGUCGUACAUAAUUGCUGGAAGAUAAAACAAUUUAUUUUUUAUUCGUUUUUUUUUUAUCUAUUUUACAUGCAAAAGUUAUCUUAGAAUACUUUUAACCAGAUAUAUUUUAAAAAAAAACCGCAACUAAAAGUGUUUUUGUUACAUUUAUUUUUUCAAAUCAUAACUAUAAAAGCUAUCAUUAUUGUAUGUUUGGUAAUGUGAUGUAGAAUGAUUUUACAAAAAUAUUUUUCAAUUAAAAAUAUAUUAAAAUAAUUUUUUUCAAUUUAAAAAACACUUCAAAAUCAUUAAAAAAUACUUAAAAAUUAAUUAACAACAUUAAUUUAAUAUUUUUUAAAAUUAAAUACAGUUUCCAAAGUUAUUAAUUUAAAUCAAAAAAUUAAAUGAACAAGUUUUUCCUUUAUAUUAUACUAUAUACUAAAAGAUAGCAGCCUUUCAUUGUGGAUUCGUAUAGUGAAAGACUAAAGGCUGAUUUUAUCCUUUAGUGAGCAAAGUAGCAUGCCUUGAAUUUAGAGAUAUAAUGGUUUUUUUCAUGGGAUACAUUGGUCAUUGUUUCAAAGGGAAGGGCUAAAUGAUAUUCUUGCAUUUUCUUUGCACAAUGUGAUGAUUUAAUUACCCUUGUAAAAAAAUCUUGGGUCUAGGGGGCUUAUUAAUCCUUGACUUGAUUUUUCAACAAGUAUGUUACUUCUUUGCCCUUGAAAAUUUAAAACAAUUAUCUUUGACUCUAACGCUUUUUUGUCAUUUAGAUGUGGUCAUUUAGUAGUUAUUGGGUGUCGUUGGAGAUAAUAAAAUAAUUUGGUAAAUUAAAAAAAAAACAGAAUCAUGUGAACAAUGUUUGCCACCUCCGAACGGUGUGUGUAGCGUCAUUCAAUAGCCAAAAUGGUGAUUCCAGGGAGGCUUCUGAAGAAUCUCAACCCCCCCCCCCCAAUGAAUCAAUGACGCGUGUAGCACUAUAGUGGUUGGUGUGACGCGUGUGACCUUUUGUUUUUUUCCCCUCUCUCCUACUCGAUUUUCAUGUUGGGAUUAGAAAAUCAAAUUAGUCCCUAAAGUUUAUUGUACUUAUGAUUUCAUCCCUAUUCUCUUUAUUAUAAUUUUUAAAUUUAGAAUACUUUAUGAAAUUAUGUGAAAUUAUGUGGUUUUUUCAAUUUCAUCUUUAUUCUCUUUGUUGCAUUUUUUUAAUUUAGAAUAGUCUACUAAAUUAAUAAUUGUUUUCAAUUUCAGAUGGUUUUCACAAUUGUUUUUUUUUUUCAAUUUCAUUAUUUUUUAGUUUUUUUCCUAUUAAAUCUAAUCUUUUUUUAUUAUUGUAUUUUUUUUGACCUUGCAAGAUUUUUUUAGAUUGAUUUUUUUUUAUUAUGUCAUCCUCCAACAUUUAAUUAGCCGAGUCUUUAGCUUCUUAGUGGAGUCUGAGUCUAAAAUUUAAUGGUUUAUUGGUUUAAGAGAUUGACCCCAGUUUCUUUGUUUUUUUUUUCCUUUUUUUUUCCAUCCUCUAGCAUUUUGUUAUUUUUUAAUUCACUUUAUAUUGUAUUUUUUAGUCUUUUUAAAAAUAACGCAGAUUGCCUUGGUUUUUUUUUUUUUUUGUCUUUGUUGAAUUUAGUUUUUAUGAAGGAAUUUUAUUUUUAAAUUGAAUUAAAUUGAUUGAUUUUAUCUUUCAACUUUUAAUUUUUUAGGUGUUGAGCUCUUGCGUUGAGCUUGGGUCAAGAAUUUAAUGGAUUGCGGGUUUGAGAGUUUAACCCGAGUUUAUAGGGUUCACUCGGGCUUCUUUGGUGUUUUGUUUCUUUUUUUAAUCUCUUUUCUUUUUCAUAUUUCAACCUAUAACAUUCUUUUUUUACUCUCUUUUUAUAGGAUUUAUCUUUCUUUUUUAAAAUAACAAGGGUUGCCUCAAAGUUUUUUCUUUCAAUCUUUGUUAAAUUUUGCUUCUUUAAAAGGAUUUUUUAAUUAAAUUAAUUUUUUUAAUUUCAUCCUCGUGUAUUUAAAUUGAGGCAAUACAUGAGAGAAUUUUUUUUUAAUUAAGUUUUUUGAAAAUUGGUAUUUGUUUUUCCAUUUUUUUCUAUAAAGUUAUCCUGAUAUUAUGUCUCAAGUCAUCGAUUCAAUAGAUUUACCAAGUUUGACUUAGGUAUUUUUUUCAUUUCUUUUUAUUUGUUUUAUCUUGAGUCAAUGAUCAAAAUCUUAAUUUUUUUUAAAAAAAAUGCAUCGUCAUAGUGUUUUUUUUACUUGGUUUUUUUUUUCUAAAUCUAUAUUUCUUUCUCUAUUUUCAUACUUCAACAUUUAGUUUAUUAGAGACCGGGUUUAAUAAUUUAUUGUAGUUUGCUUUAUAUAUGGUUAGUUCAGUUUCUUUAUACGCUAUAAACUAAAAGAGGUGGUGAAUUUACUAUUUACCGCCUCACAAAACACUAUUCAUUCCAAUAAUAUUUUUUUAAUUUUGUUUUUUGUUUUCUAAAUCUAUAUAUUAUUUCUCUAAUUUCAUAUUUCAACAUUUAGUUUAUUGGAGACUGAGCUUACUAAUUUAUAAUAGUUUGCUUUAUAUAUGGUUAGCUAAGUCUAAUAACUCGUAUUACGGGUUUGACGAGUUAGCUCAAUUUUUUUUUUUGUCUUUUUAUAAUUGGUAUUUUUUAAUUUUAUCAUUCAAUAUUGGGUUAAUUAUGAAUUAAGCUUCAUGAUUUAUUUUGAUUUGUUUUUUAUGAGGUUAUCCUGGUUUUAUGACUCAGGUCACGUGUUUUACGAAUUAAGUCGUGUAGACUCAGGUCUUUUAUUAUAUAAUAUUUUUAGAUUGAUUUUUUUUUUCAAUUUCAACCUUAAACAAUAAGUUUAUUGAAAAUUAAGAUUUAUAAUUUGUUUUGAUUUACUUUUUAUAAAGUUAUCACAAUCUCAUGACCUUGGUUGCGGGUUUGGCAAGUUAAUCUAGGUUGAGACUCACGCUAUUUUUUUUGUUUACUUUCUAUGAAAAAUUAAAAUAGUUUAGUAAUAAAAUUAAUAUAAAAAAUAAAUUGGGUGCAAAAUUGAUAACACCCAUGUAGUUUAAUGGUAUAUUUUUUUUUUAAACAAAAGGCUAUCAUUUUGAAAGUUUUAUUAAAAAGUCAUGUUUUUAACAAUCAUUAAGAUUGUAUUUUGAUCCAUAAAAUCAAUUAAUUUAAUUUAAGUUAAAUUUUACAUGAUUUAAUUAAAAACUUGAGUUAGAUAAAAAAAAACUAAAUUAUAAAAUUAACUUAUUAAAUCAAUAAUAUAAUUAAAAGAUCUUCAUGCUUUUAAUAUUUUUUUACAUUUAAAAAAAAUUAUCCAAUGAAUAACAGUUCAAUAAACUAGUAGAAGUUAGAUCAUGAGACACUCACAUCAGCUGAACUACUUCAUGAUUGAUAUGUUUUAAAUUAGCAAUUAAAAUAUCAAAGGAUUUCUGGGACACUCCCAAUGAUAUUAAUUUGUAAAAUACUUAAUUUUUUUAGGUAAUUGUAACAUAAAUCCUUAAUUGAAAAAUAAAAAUAGUUUACUAAUAAAAUUAAUAUAAAAAAUAAAUUGGGUGCAAAAUUGAUAACACCCAUGUAGUUUAAUGGUAUUUUUUUUUAAAAAAAGCUAUCAUUUUAAAAGUUUUAUUAAAAAUUAAGUCAUGUUUUUAUCAGUUAUUAAAAUUAUAUUUUAAUCCAUAAAAUCAAUCAAUUUAAUUUAAGCUAACUUUUACAUGAUUUAAUUAGAAAGUUAGAUAAAAAAAACUAAAUUGCAUGAUUUUAUAAUUAACUUAUUAAACCAGAUUUAAUAAUAUAAUUAAAAGAUUCUUCAUGAUUCUUCAAAAUUUACAUGAUUUAAUUAGAAAGUUAGAUAGAAACUAGAUCAUAAGACACUAACGUCAGAUGAACUACUUCAUGAUUGAUAUGCUUUAAAUGAGCAAUUAAAAUAUCAAAGGAUUUCUAGGAUACUCCCAAGAUGUUUAAUUAUUAGAGGGUUAAUUUUAGUUCCCUGAUAUCUUCUGAUUGUUGCUGGUUGUAGAUUUCCUCCUUCUUCCAUCUUGAUGACUGCUACUCAUAUCAAAGGAUUUGCAAACUAAAUUCAUGUUUUUUUUUUUUUUUUUUUUUUUUUUUUUUUUAAGUUGAAAAUUCAGUUGAAUCAACCAGAUCAGAUCAGAUCAGAUCAGAUCUAGAUUUAAUCAACUUAAUUUUAUUUGAAAAUGACAGGGAAUUGACAUUCUUAACUUUAUUUGUUUGUCAUUAUCUUUAUAUUAUGCUUUUUAUCUUAAUUAUUUCAUAAAAUUGCAUUUUUAUGGGAAUUGCUGCUUUAAACUCAUAAGUGUAAACUAUUUUGUUUCAAUGUAUUCGUUAGAUCGGUGGUAUGCUAUCUUUCACUAAUGAAAUUCUGUUUAUUGGUUUUGAGAAGAAAAAAAAAAGUAUUUCUAUCUUUGUUUUAUGGAAAAAGCACAUAGAUCCAAGAACUAGAUAUAACAAAAGAUAUUCGAGGAAAUGAGUGUUUAAAAUUAGAUAAAGCUGUUGUGUAAAUAAGCGUAUGAUGCAGAGAUAGUCAUUACAGAUUUUAGUUGGCUAAGAUUGAUCCUUUGUUGAGUUCGUUCCAUUAAUUAUACUUCCUUGCAAGUCUUUUUUGUCUCCUUAUUCAUAACUUUUUUUUUUAAAAAAAAACAUUGACCUAUCAUAGCUUUAGAUUGAUUAGAUGAGUUGUUGGAAGCGAUGAGCAGCUCGUAUCAUUCGUGCAGGUGUCAAAGUGAUCAUCAUCAACCUUCCAUACAGAGAGACUGGUGGAAAAUGGCUAUCGAAAGUGUUGGUGGGUCCGUUGUAUCUAAGAUAGCAGAGCUCUUGGUGGAACCAGCAAUCAAGCAGUUCCGUUACAUGUUCUGUUUCAACAAUUUUGUUCAAGAAUUCGAUGAACAAAUGAUGAACCUGGCUUUGGCAUUUUAUCGUCUGCAAGAUGCUGUCAACGUAGCUGAAAGGAAUGCUGAAGAAAUUGAGAUUGAUGUCAACACAUGGCUGGAAAAUGCAAAAAACGAAAUUGAAGGUGUGAAUCGUUUGCAAAAUGAAAAAGGAAAAAUCAUCAAAUGCUUUACUUGGUGUCCAAAUUCGAUGCGACAAUUCAAGUUAAGCAAGGCACUGGCAAAGAAGACGGAGACUUUGAGAAAACUUGAAGAAAAUAGCAGAAAGUUUCCAAAAGUGUCCCACAAAGCACCUCUUCAAGAGAUAAAAUUUCUUCCAUCAAAGGAAUUCACACUCUCAGGAUCGUCAAAAGAAGCUUUCAAACAGAUUAUGAAAGCUCUCAAAGAUGACAAGGUCAAUAUGAUCGGACUGUACGGCAUGGGAGGGGUGGGUAAAACCACCCUGGUGAAAGAAGUAGGCAGGAGAGCCAAAGAGUUGCACCUUUUUGAUGAAGUUUUGAUAGCUACGGUGUCCCAGAAUCCAAAUGCCACAGGCAUCCAGGAUCAAAUGGCAGAUAGUUUAGAUCUGCAAUUUGACAAGAAGAGUAAAGAAGGGAGAGCAAAAGAACUAUGGCAGAGACUGCAGGGAAAGAAGAUGCUUAUAGUCCUGGAUGAUGUUUGGAAAGAUAUUGACUUCCAAGAGAUAGGGAUCCCAUUUGGUGAUGAUCACAGGGGUUGUAAAAUUCUUCUAACAACACGUCUUGAAGACAUGUGUUCUUAUAUGAAGUGCAAGGAAAAAGUUUUUUUAUGUCUCUUUUCUAAAGAGGAAGCAUGGGCUUUAUUCAGAAUCAAUGCAGCUUUACGUGACGAGGACUCUACCUUGAACAGGGUGGCAAAGAAGGUUGCGAGAGAAUGUAAUGGAUUGCCUGUAGCACUUGUGACAGUGGGAAGGGCUCUAAGAGAUAAAUCUGUUGUUGAGUGGGAAGUAGCGUCUGAAGAGCUCAAAAACUCUCAAUUUCGGCAUUUGGAACAAAUUGACGGACAAAAAAAUGCAUAUGCAUGUCUUAAGUUGAGCUAUGAUUAUUUGACGUCCGAUGAAACCAAGUCAUGUUUCUUGCUAUGCUGUUUAUUUCCAGAAGAUUACGACAUUCCGAUUGAGGACUUGACGAGAUACGCAGUUGGCUAUGGGUUACAUAAAGAUGCGGAGUCCAUUGAAGAUGCAAGGAAACGAGUUUAUGUGGCAAUCAAAAACCUCAAAGCUUGUUGUAUGCUGUUAGGAACUUUUAGUGAAGAAUAUGUCAAAAUGCAUGACUUGGUUCGUGAUGUUGCUAUUCGGAUAGCAUCAUCAGAAAAAUACGGAUUCAUGGUAAAGGCUGGCAUUGGGUUGCUAGAGUGGCCAACGAGCAAUAAAAGCUUUGAAGGUUGUACAACAAUUUCGUUAAUGGGCAAUAAACUAGCAGAACUUCCUGAAGGAUUGGUGUGUCCACAGCUCAAAGUUCUAUUGUUAGGACUGGAUCGUGGUUUGAAUGUUCCAGAGAGGUUUUUUGAAGGGAUGAAAGCAAUAGAAGUUUUGUCUCUAAAGGGAGGGUGUUUGUCAUUGCAAUCACUUCAAUUCUCAACGAACCUUCAAUCGUUGCUGUUGAUCGAGUGUGAAUGCAAGGACCUCAUUUGGUUGAGAAAGCUGCAAAGACUUAAUAUUCUUGUUUUCAGGCGGUGCGGCUCCAUUGAAGAAUUACCUGAUGAAAUUGGGGAGCUCAAGGAGUUGAGGUUGUUGGAUUUGACAGGUUGUGAAAAUCUAAGAAGGAUUCCUGUGAAUUUGAUAGGAAGGUUGAAGAAGUUAGAAGAACUGCUGAUCGGGGAUCGGAGCUUCAAGGGAUGGGAUGUUGUUGGAUGUGACAGCACAGAAGGAAUGAAUGCAAGCCUAACAGAACUAAACUCGUUGUCUCAUUUAGCUGUAUUAUCAUUGAAGAUACCGAAGGUUGAAUGCAUUCCCAGAGAUUUUGUUUUUCCCAGGUUGCUCAAAUAUGAUAUAGUGUUAGGGGAUUGGUAUUCAGGACCCCAUAAAGAAUACCCAACCUCGACAAGAUUAUAUUUGGGUGAUAUAAGCGCCACAUCCUUAAAUGCAAAGACAUUUGAGCAGUUGUUUCCUACCGUGUCUCAUAUUUGGUUUUGGAGAGUGGAGGGUUUAAGAAAUAUAGUAUUGUCCUCUGAUCAGAUGACCUCCCAUGGCCAUGGGUCGCAAAAGGACUUCUUUCAAAGAUUAGAAUAUGUAGCAGUGAGAGAAUGUGAUGAUAUUCGCACUCUGUUUCCAGCAAAAUGGCGGCAAGCUUUGAAAAAUCUAAGGAGAGUGGAAAUUGAAGACUGCCAAUCAUUGGAUGAAGGAAUUAACGAGGAGAAGGAGCUGCCAUUUUUAACGGAGUUACAGCUGUCCUGGUUACCUGAGCUCAAAUGUAUAUGGAAGGGGCCCACUAGACAUGUCAGCCUCCAAAGUCUUACUCGUCUGGAGCUCAGAUGUCUUAACAAACUGACAUUUAUCUUUACUCCGUCCCUCGCUCAAAGUUUUAUUCAUCUGGAAACGCUACGGAUAGAAAAUUGCCAUGGAUUGAAGCGUCUUAUCAGAGAACAGGAUGACGAAAUCAGGACAGAGUCUCUUGGCUUCCCAAAAUUAAAAAAUCUCUCUAUAAUAUUCUGUGAUAAACUUGAAUAUGUCUUCCCUGUCUCCGUGUCUCCAAGUCUUCAGAACCUGGAAGAGAUGCAGAUUGUUUUUGCUGACAAUUUAAAGUCUCUUGUAUUUUACAGUGGAGAAGGAGAUGACAUCAUCGUCAAGUCUAAAAUUAAAGAUGGCAUCAUCGACUUCCCUCAGCUAAGAGAAUUGUCUCUUUCAAAGUGCAGCUUUUUUGGUCCAAAGGAUUUUGCUGCCCUAUUGCCUUCUUUGCAAUGUCUAAGGAUCUCUGGCCUUGAAGAAUGGGGUAAUUUGUUGGCACAGCUUCGAGUACGUCCUUUAAAUUGUCAACUUCAAUACAUUGUGAUAAUUUGUUCUAUCUUCCUCCAAAUUUCUAAAACUAAACUAAACUAAACUUCCACUGAAUUUAAUUGAUGAUUUAAAUUGGCUUAGGAAGUUAGACAUCAAUUACUGUAAUAUAAUUUCUUAUCUCAUCCUUCAGAUUCUAAAACUAAAGUAGUGGAUAAAUCCUUUAGCCAUCCACUGAAUUUAAAAGGAGUGAAAUUGAGGCUCUUCCGCCAAUUAAUGGAAAGUAUUUGGACAGAACGAUAAAGCUCCGUCUGAGAAUAUUGAGUUUUUUGUUUCAGUGCUGCAACUUAUGAUGUCAUGGUUCAAAAAAUUAAUAAAAAUUGGUUUUUUUAUCCAAUUUUUUAAGCAAUUAGAUUCAAAAAGCAAAAAUUGAAACUUUCUUUUUAAAUGCAAUAUUUUUCUCAUUCAAAGAACUUCAAAAGCACCAAAUUUGUAUUGAGUUCCAAAAACAUAUUUUUUUAAUAUUUUUUUCAUUUUUUUUACGAUUUGUUUUCACUUUUUUUUAUGAAAAAAAUAAUUUAAAUGAUCAAUAAUCAAGCAUUUUUAUUAAAAAAAUUUACUAAUAUGUAAAAUUCAAAUUAUUUUCUUUUAUAUUUUUAUUUUUGAAAAAUGUCAUAAUUGUUUUUUUUUAUUAUAAAUCGAAUAUAAAAAAAUAAUUUUUUUGAGUUUAAGUAUAAUUUUUCAUGAUUGCUUUUAAUUUAACUACUAUAAAAUAAUAGUUUGUAUUCAGAUUAUCAUAAAUAUGAAAAAAUAUGAUUUUAUAUUCCCAUGACCCGUUGCCUUGUCUAUCUAUAUCUUCUUGUUGAUAAGUAUUUCGGUAUUGGGAAUAAUUGGUUCAUCUAUUUAACAAAAUUAUAUAAUAGUUUCAAAGUGCACAAAAAUUACUAGGAAUUAUAUCUAAUAAAUUGGUACCCUUAUUUUCUUUUGAUGCAGGGGUUUACAAGUUUGGAAACAUUGAAGUUGUCCUCCCUGCUUGUGCCUGACUUGAGGUGUAUAUGGAAGGGUCUCGUGCCAUGCAAUUUGACUACUUUGGAGGUGAAAGAGUGUAAGAGGCUGACACAUGUAUUCACAGACAGCAUGAUUGCUAGUCUUGUUCAACUGAAAGUUCUAGAGAUAUCAAAUUGUGAGGAAUUGGAGCAAAUCAUUGCUAAGGAUAAUGAUGAUGAAAAGGAUCAGAUAUUUUCAGGAAGUGAUCUCCAAUCUGCAUGCUUUCCUAAUUUGUGUCGACUUGAGAUUAGAGGAUGCAACAAGUUGAAGAAGUUGGAGGUGGAUGGAUGCCCAAAGCUGACCAUAGAAUCUGCUACUACAUCAAAUGACUCAAUGAGUGGUCAAUCAGAGGUGCUGCUGAUUUGACUUGAUUUCUUGCCUCUCAUUUAGUUUUAAAAGUGCGCAAUAAUUACUAUGAAUUACAUCUAACAACUUGGUACCCUUGUUUUCUUUUGAUGCAGGGGUUUAUGAAUUUGAAAGAAAUAUCUAUUGGAAACUUGGAAGGAGUACAAGAUUUAAUGCAAUUUGAACGUUUGGUAACUAAUAGAAGAGGUGGGCAUGAACUUUCACUCGUGAGUUUGGAAACAUUACAGUUGAACUUAUUGCCUGACUUGAGGUGUAUAUGGAAGGGCCUAGUGCCGAGCAAUUUGACUACUUUGAAGGUGAAAAGGUGUAACAGACUGACACAUGUAUUCACAGACAGCAUGAUUGCUAGUCUAGUUCAACUGAAAGUUCUAGAGAUAUCAAACUGUGAGGAAUUGGAGCAAAUCAUUGCUAAGGAUAAUGAUGAUGAAAAGGAUCAGAUAUUUUCAGGAAGUGAUCUCCAAUCUGCAUGCUUUCCUAAUUUGUGUCGACUUGAGAUCAGAGGAUGCAACAAGUUGAAGAGUCUCUUCCCAGAAGCCAUGGCUUCAGGUCUCAAAAAGCUCCAAAUACUUAAAGUAAGAGAAUCCUCUCAAUUAUUGGGAGUAUUUGGGCAGGAUGAUCAUGCUUCACCUGUCAAUGUUGAGAAGGAGAUGAUGCUCCCUGAUCUGCAGGAGUUGUUGCUUGUACAAUUACCAAGUAUUUCCUGCUUUAGUCUCGGAUGUUAUGAUUUCUUGUUCCCUCAUUUGAAGAAGUUGGAGGUGGAUGGAUGCCCAAAGCUG
rnacentral:lncRNA from 1 species